rnacentral:snoRNA from 1 species
UUAUCCUGCCCUGUCUGGCGCCCUGCCUGUACAAACGGUUGGUGGCGGGCCGCCAGCCGCAAGAGAGA